UACAGAGGUCCCAAGCGUUGUUCGGAUUCACUGGGCGUAAAGGGUGCGUAGGCGGCGCGGUAAGUCGGGUGUGAAAUCUCGGAGCUUAACUCCGAAACUGCAUUCGAUACUGCCGUGCUUGAGGACUGGAGAGGAGACUGGAAUUUACGGUGUAGCGGUGAAAUGCGUAGAUAUCGUAAGGAAGACCAGUGGCGAAGGCGGGUCUCUGGGCCGAUACUGACGCUGAGGAGCGAAAGCAUGGGUAGCGAACAGG
rnacentral:rRNA from 1 species